AGAGUUUGAUCCUGGCUCAGGACGAACGCUGGCGGCGUGCUUAACACAUGCAAGUCGAACGGAAAGGCCCCUUUGGGGGUACUCGAGUGGCGAACGGGUGAGUAACACGUGAGUAACCUGCCCUUGACUUCGGGAUAACUUCAGGAAACUGGGGCUAAUACCGGAUAGGAAUCCUUGCUGCAUGGUGGGGGUUGGAAAGCUUCGGCGGUUUUGGAUGGACUCGCGGCUUAUCAGCUUGUUGGUGGGGUAGUGGCUUACCAAGGCUUUGACGGGUAGCCGGCCUGAGAGGGCGACCGGCCACAUUGGGACUGAGAUACGGCCCAGACUCCUACGGGAGGCAGCAGUGGGGAAUAUUGCACAAUGGGCGGAAGCCUGAUGCAGCAACGCCGCGUGCGGGAUGACGGCCUUCGGGUUGUAAACCGCUUUCAGCAGGGGCGAAGCUUUUGUGACGGUACCUGCAGAAGAAGCACCGGCUAACUACGUGCCAGCAGCCGCGGUGAUACGUAGGGUGCGAGCGUUGUCCGGAUUUAUUGGGCGUAAAGAGCUCGUAGGUGGUUGAUUGCGUCGGAAGUGAAAACUUGGGGCUUAACCCUGAGCGUGCUUUCGAUACGGGUUGACUUGAGGAAGGUAGGGGAGAAUGGAAUUCCUGGUGGAGCGGUGGAAUGCGCAGAUAUCAGGAGGAACACCAGUGGCGAAGGCGGUUCUCUGGACCUUUCCUGACGCUGAGGAGCGAAAGCGUGGGGAGCGAACAGGCUUAGAUACCCUGGUAGUCCACGCUGUAAACGGUGGGUACUAGGUGUGGGGUCCAUUCCACGGAUUCCGUGCCGUAGCUAACGCAUUAAGUACCCCGCCUGGGGAGUACGGCCGCAAGGCUAAAACUCAAAGGAAUUGACGGGGCCCCGCACAAGCGGCGGAGCAUGCGGAUUAAUUCGAUGCAACGCGAAGAACCUUACCUGGUCUUGACAUCCACGGAAGUUUU
rnacentral:rRNA from 1 species